UUGGCUAGUAAUUAGGAUACAGCGCGUACAUUGCAUGGCAGUGGCUGCCAAUUGUAAACAUAAUAGAUAUGCGCGAUGAUUUUUUAAGGGAGGGGCUAAAACUUGCCAGUAGUUUUAUUCAAUAAGGAUUUUGCAGUUGACUACUGCGUCUACUCUUGUGCGCUUCUGUGGCUGUUUUGAAAUCCGCCAAAGACCAAACUUUACUCGCCAGCUGUGCAGGUGCUGGAAAGCAGGCCGAGACAGGAGCUCAAGACUACAGACAGACCCCACAUUCUCUCCAGCCUGAAAGGGGGAGCAUGGAUCCAGUGGCCGCCAUGGAAGACGACUUCGAACGUCGCAGGGAGCAGAGGAGGCAGAAGCGGGAGGAGAUGCGAUUGGAGGCGGAAAGGAUGAGUUAUCAGAGGACUGAUGAUGAUGAUGAAGAAGCAGCUCGAGAACGCAGACGCAGGGCUCGGCAGGAGAGACUGCGCAACAGGGAGAACGAGGAGGCGGCUGCCGUGACAACGGAGAGCACCACGAUCAACAACACCAACAGGGUAACGGAGUCGGUCACCACGGUGACCGAGGUGGCCACCGAGGACGACCAGGCGCUCCUCGACAGGCUGGCCAAGCGAGAGGAGCGUCGCCUGAGGAGGAUGAAGGAGGCGCUGGAGAGGCAGAAGGAGCUGGACCCCACCAUCGCCGAUGGCAACGAUAACGGCCAGGAGGAGCAGCCGGAGGGCCGGAGGGGACGGCACCGCGGCGAGGAGCAGGAGGAGCUCAACGACAAGGCCCCCGAAACCAACGCCUGGAAGGCGGAGAAGAAGGAGGAGCCGGAGGAGGUGAAACGUCAGGAGAAGGAGGCGGCCGUGGAGGAGAAAGAGGAGCCCGCACCCGUGGAACCCCCAGCGGAGCCCGAGGAGCCGGAGGAGGAGGCGCCGCAGGAGGAGGUGGAGGAGAAACCGAGGAGGUCCUACCUGAGAGAACAGGAAGAGGUAGAAGAAAAAACUGUCACAUCAAAUAAAGAGGUUGAAGAAAUAGCUAUUAUUUCAAACACAGAGGUCGAAAAAAUAUUACCAUCUAAGGUGGAGGAACCAGAAAUAGCAAAGAAAGAGGUUGAAAAAGAACCUGCAAUUUCCAAACCAGAGGUUGAAGAACAACCUGUGACAUCAGAGGAAGAUAAACCUGUUAAAUCAAAGAAAGAGGUUGAAGUGGAACUUAUCAUAUCAAAAAAUGAGUUUGAGGAGAAACCCGUGGUAGCAAAGGUGGAAGCCAAAGAAAAAUCUGUGAUGGUAAAGGUAGAGGUUGAGGAAAAACCUGUGAUCACAAAAGAAGAGGUUGAAGAGAAACCUGCGAUAACGAAGAAGGACAUUCAAGAGAAACGUGUGAUAGCAAAGAAAGAGGUUGAAGAGAAACCUGUUGUAACGAAAAAAGAGGUUGAAGACAAACCGUUGAUAGCAAAGAAAGACAUUCCAGAGAAACCUGUGAUAGGAAAGAAAGAAGAUAAAGAGAAACCUGUUACAACAAAAAAAGAAGUUGAGGAGAAACUGGUGAUAGCGAAGAAAGAUGUUCAAGAGAAGCCUAUGAUACCAAAGAAAACGACUGAAGAGAAACCUGUUUUACCAAAGAAAGAGGUUGAAGACAAAUCAAUGAUAACAAAGAAAGGUAUUCAAGAGAAAUCUGUGACAGCAAAGAAAGAGGUUGAAGAGAAAUCUCUCCUUUCAAAGAAAAAGGUUGAAGAAAAAACUACCAUAUCAAAAAAAGAGGAGGUAAUAGAGGAGAAACGCAAAAGUCCCUUCAUGAAAGGACAGGAGGCUGUGGAGGAAAAGACAAAAUGGUCCAUCAGAAAAGAGGAGGUGUUUGAGAAGAAGGUGAAAGAAGUCACUCCACCGUCCAAGCAGCAGAACGGAGCGGUCCAUGACAACACCUCCGCCAAGCACAAGAAACCCGAGAGGACUCUGAGCCGUGGGAGCAUGCGCUCACCAGAGGUGGAGGAGCAGGACGAUGCCGCUCGACAGGAGGCGGAGCGCAAGCUGGAGGAGCUGAAGCGUCGCCGCGACGAUGCGGAGAGCGAGGAGUUUGAGAAGAUGAGGCAGAAGCAGCAGGGGGCCGAGGCCGAGCUGGAGGAGCUGAAGAGAAAGAGGGAGGAAAGGAAGAAGGUCCUAGAAGAGGAGGAGAAACGGAAGAAGCAGGAGCGCGAGGAGAAGAAGGCCAAGGAAGAGGAAGAGAAGAGGAAGAUGAAGGAGGAGAUUGAGAGGAGGAGGGCGGAGGCUGCGGAGAAGAGGCAGAAAGUGGAAGAGUCGGGCGACGGAGAGGGCAAGAAGCCGUUCAAGUGUGUCAGUCCCAGGGGCUCCUCCCUCAAGAUCGGCGAGAGGGCGGAGUUCUUAAACAAGUCUGCUCAGAAAAGCGCGGUGAAGCCGACGCACCUUCCCGUCGUCUCCAAGAUUGACAACCGACUGGAGCAGUACACCACUGCCCUUCAGUCCAGCAAGGAUCCCAAGUCCCCCAAGGCGGCAGCGGCGGACCUGCCGGUGGUGACCGACGGGAUCCGGAACAUCAAGAGCAUGUGGGAGAAAGGGAAUGUGUUCGGCUCUCCGGGGAGCCCAGGGAACACAAACAAGGAAGCUGUGGGCAUGAAGAUAGGCGUGGCCGGGCGUAUCAACGACUGGCUGACCAAAACCCCCGAGCCUGGCAAAGCUGCCGCGGCCAAGCCUGCUGACCUGAAACCUGGUGAUGUCACCAACAAGCGCAGCCUAUGGGAAAACAAGGGUUCCCCCGCGACCAAGCCUUCUCUUAGUUAGUCGACUUCGCCUCUAAACCGGAGAUGAGCAGAAGAGGUGGCGAUCGGAGGCAAGAGCAAAGCGGUCACCAAUGCAGGGACGGGACAUUAACCAUACUGAGUCUGAGACCUGAGAAGGCCGGAAUCAGCAAAAAAAAAACAAAAAAAAACACACGACACACUCCUUUUUUUUGCUUUGUAUAUUUUUAAUACCAAAAAAAUAUGAUUAAAAAAAAAAAAAGAUAAAUAAAUGGAACCCCAGGGUUGGGGGUGUGGGUGGGGGGGUGGGGGUGGUUGGUGUGCACCAGUAAAAGGAAGCAUGAUGUAUAUUAGCACUGUGUUCAGCCCCCCGAGAGCCAGACAUGGCCGUUUUAAAGCUUACUGCUUUGCACAUGUCCUUGUACUCUCAUUUUAUUUUUUAAAAAAAGAAAAAAAAACUAUGCUGUGAAAUUUGAACUUUUAGAAUUUUUAUAGCUUUGAAAGUAAUUUAAAUGAGUAAUUAAAACUCCGGAAUCGAAAUGAAAGGACCCUGCCACCUGACGUGGACGAGAGUUAUUUUAGCCCAAUGAUAUUUGUUCUGCCGGUUUGUCGCCUAAAAGGUGGUGCCACUGGUCUCUUCAUACUGUACGUACCGGGCAGAUUGGGUCCUGUUAAAACAGACUCUGACAUCACAGAGAAUCCGAGUCAACGUUAGCGUAUCAGAACGAGUCCUCAGGCCCAAAUGGGAUUUGCGGUUAGUUGAUAGUGGUACUGACUUUAGUGGGUCACUAAAGAGUUCAGGACAAAAAUACAAAUAUCUACUCAUCACUUAAUAUGUUUAAUUCUCCCACUUAUUGAUGCUUUUGAACAAUGGUCUAAGUAAUAUAUGUUACUACAUAUAUUUAUUAUUGAACAUUACCGAUAUAUGUAUCUCACGGCUUUUUCAUUUGAGAUUUGUGCACACACUUUGUACUCCUAAAUCGAUACCAGCCACUAGAAAGCAUUUAUGAAAAAAAAGUAAAAGAGUUAUCAUUAUAAACGUAUUCGAAACUACGAUUUUUUUUUUGUUUGUUUUGUUUUGUUUUAUUAUGAAAUUUUAUUUAACGGAUGUUUUGCUGUUGUUUUCUUCCUAUUUCGCCGGAUAUGGGGGCGACUAGCCUCUUCAGACCUGAUUUGUUUCGACCCAGCGUCUCUCUCUCUCUCACUCUCUCUAGAGACGGCAAACGAAGCCCACAGUGUGAACCCGACACGAAUGAAUUCUGUUUUCGAGAGAGCUUUUUAGGGUCUUUAAGCCUCUGUGCAGAGAAUGCCGAAGACUGCAGCCAGUUUACUUGCAGGUUAAUUCUCCACGUGUGAGCCUCGCUUUCGCUUGCAUCCACCAGUGCUUGACGACGCUAAGUAAGUGCAAAAAGCCGAUGAUAUACAGGUCAGCUGAAACCUCCUAUAAGACAGCAUUUACACAUUCCCUGACAAACAUGCAUUGCAGCAAGCUGUAUAAACAUAUUUUACUACAGUGUAUUUCUUGGACAUAAAGAGCUAUGCGCAGCCAUAGAAAUGUAUUCCUUAUAAAGUAUUAAGAAAUGCUCGUGAAGUUUCUUUUUUUCUUCUUCUGUGAGCAGUACUUUGACAGCUCUGUAAAAGUUGAUGUCAGUUUACGGUCUCAUUUCUCUUAAAUUAAUCAUCCAUAAUACGUGACACAGCUUGUUGUUUGGACUUGGCAAGGGAUUGCAGGUAGAAAUUAGCCUUUGCGAUGACUCUUUGUACUUUGCCCCUGUGAAAUACAUUUAUUAACCACUAUGAAGAUUCAAGGCCCAAAAAGCAUGAACAUGUCCUGCUGGCUUCACGUUUUUUUUAUGAGGGACAGUUCAGUUCACCCUGAGAACACACACUAUGGGUGUCAGUGCCAGCCAUAAGACACAUUCUGAGCCGGAAUCAAAGUUUUAGUUCAUUGUGAGUGUUGGAUGUUCAUGAUAGACUCUCAAUAGAGAAUGAAUGCGGUCUGGUUUAUUUAAAAAUGUUUGAAGCAUUUCCAUGUGCCAUUAUUACGACUGUAGAAGUUGGGGAAUGUGGCCAAAUGAUCUGUGAUGACAUUGGAUUUAUCUCUCAUAAGGAAUAUCCUUAAUGUGAGAAGGAAAUUAUGUAGGGAUUGGGGCUACUUCUAGCAUUAGUGUACUAAACAGGAAACAAAGCAACCUUUAAAAUACCUGAAAAGGUGCUUUCAGGACGACUACCUUUGUUUGGAAAGGUAUUAUCUUAUAUGCGGAAACGGCAUUCAAAAUUAUUCUCGAAGUUAUAUAUACCGGGGAUAGAUAUAGAGCUAGGAAAACAGGGAAAAAGCCUUUCACAAACUGCAUUCCUGGGCCAUUUCAAAACUAAUAUUGAUUUGGUGAAAUGAUAAUAUUGCAUGCAAAUUGGAUAUCCAGCAAAGUAACACCUUUCUGCCUAAAUUCAACAUAUCUAUAAAAACUGCAAUUAGGUUAAAAUUAUACAAAUUAAUAUAAAUUAUCCCAAUUCUGCAGCAUGAAGAAAUGACCAUCAAACCAAUUAGAUAUGUAUUUUGAUGUUAGGUACUUUGUUAGUGUGGUAAUACUGCAGACAAGGACUUGGUUGGCCACGCCCACAUCUUGUCUCCUGUUUUUAGAGAUAUUAACAUGCACAUUAUAAGACUGAGUUUGAAACCAGUGUGAUCAGCUUUCAUCAGGUCCUGUCCAAUGUAUUAUCGUGAAUAAUAUUGAAUAUUUUUCCUAACAAAAAGUCUGUUCCUGAUGAGAAAGUGAAACCCCCUCUCCUGAAAUACUUAAGUUGUGCUAUAAGAAAAAAAAAUGUAUAUGAAAUUAUUCCAAUUUGAUUUUGGUUUUGUGUUUACAUUUUUUUAAAACACUUGUGUAUUGUACAAGGAUGAAACUAUGCAAACUGUGUCCUCACGUGCUCUGCAUCUCUCAGAAUGUGUAUUGUAGUGGAUAGUCUAUGUCCUCACAAGCUUUCUUUCCUGUUAUUUGUACACACCGUCAAUAUGUGUAUUGUUGUAUGUGGCUUCAUACAUGAUGGUUUCAACAUUAUAUCAAUGACCCUGCAACAGCAAUAAAUACCUAAAUGACCAAAAAAAAAA